CCUUAAUGAUGUCAAAAUUGAUGACGAGUCUGAGAAAUUCCAUUCAAUCAAUCUUGAUGUGAGCUGAGGCAUUUGUCUGAGAG
rnacentral:snoRNA from 1 species